GGUUACGGUAGAGAACAGGAAAAUGCAUGCAGAAUGUUUGAGGCUGUGUAUCCUGUUCCACCCAAGCUUGUGAGCCCAGAAGGACCUGAAUGACCAAGGCCUGGAGGGGACUGAGGGAGCUCCUGGUUCACGGGUUCAUCAUCAUGUGUGCCCUGGAUGUCCUGCGGUCAGUGAUGCUGACCGGACCCAGAGAGACAGAGAUUUCAGACAGGCAGAAGCCAAGAAGGACAGCUGAGAUCUGUGAACAUGUCCCUUCCUUCUAGGGACAUCAGAUGCAGGAGGAAGUGCACUGUCAAAACAAUAGAGGGAAGAGCCUGACUCAAAGUCCUGAAGGCCACUCAAAGUCUUUCUCUUGACUCCUCCAGUGGACCCUGAAAAAGAACUUGGGCUCUUUUCCACCUUCCAUUAUAAGACAGAAGAGCAUCCUGUUUCAACGGCAAUGAUUACUGGGAAAUGGCAGUGUGGCUGUGUAUACUGCACAAUGGUGUGCCUCCAUUAUAUCUGGAAAUGUUCUUGCAUGAUAUGGGUUAGGUGACUUCCACAUGUGUUGAGAGUCAUAGAACCACUUGGGCUAAUUCCACCACCACCUGUCACCGAUGGAACCAGAAGGUAUGCCUCCCCAUUCCCUAUCUGUGUGUUUGGAGCACAUCGGAGGGGGCUUUAUGUGCAUUCCAGUAUAUGUGGAUAGAGCUCCUCCAUACAAAAGGGUUCCCCUUCACAUGGAGGAGGAGCUCUGUGCAUAGAGAUUAUUCUGCAUAUGAAGACCCUUCCAAUGUACUUGGAAUAUGUAGAGUAAGGACAUGGCCACCAACAGUGGGCAGCUUUGCUACCAGGUACACCAGUGUGACUAGCACCAUGACUCCCCUCUAGAGAUGAGGGAGAAAUUAGAUUUUGUUUGCAUCUUAAUGAGGAAGCACUUAAAUUCAUACUUCACAUGUCAG